rnacentral:sRNA from 1 species
UAAAGUAUUGCAACAGUAAAUAAACAGGA